GGCAACCCUGACGGAGCAACGCCGCGUGGGGGAGGAAUGCCUUAGGGUUGUAAACCCCUUUUAUCUGGGAAGAACAAAAUGACGGUACCAGAUGAAUAAGCCUCGGCUAACUCCGUGCCAGCAGCCGCGGUAAUACGGAGGAGGCAAGCGUUAUCCGGAAUUAUUGGGCGUAAAGCGUCCGCAGGUGGCAAUGUAAGUCUGCUGUCAAAACCCAGGGCUCAACUCUGGUCAGGCAGUGGAAACUACAUAGCUAGAGUUCGGUAGGGGCAAAGGGAAUUCCCGGUGUAGCGGUGAAAUGCGUAGAGAUCGGGAAGAACAUCGGUGGCGAAAGCGCUUUGCUAGACCGAAACUGACACUCAGGGACGAAAGCUAGGGGAGCG
rnacentral:rRNA from 1 species